rnacentral:rRNA from 1 species
GCCAAACAGCUAGCUUAAAACACCCAAACAACACCCAACAUUGAUAACCUAUCAUUAAACCACCACAACACAAACUAAAACAUUCUACCGCCCCAGUAUGUGAGACAGAAAAGGCACCAAUUAAGCCAUAGUAACAGUACCGCAAGGGAACGCUGAAAAAGAAAUGAAACAAAUCAUUAAAGCACAACUAAGCAGAGAUUAACCCUCGUACCUUUUGCAUCAUGAUUUAGCCACCUACCCCCGAGCAAAGCGAACUUUAGUUCAACACCCCGAAACUAAGUGAGCUACUCCGAGACAGCCUAUAACCAGGGCCAACCCAUCUCUGUGGCAAAAGAGUGGGAAGAUCUCCGAGUAGCGGUGACAGACCUAUCGAACUUAGUUAUAGCUGGUUGCCUAAGAAAUGAAUAUGAGUUCAGCCUCGCACUCCUUAACUCAAACAGCUUGCAAUUUAACGAGCCAGAGAAAUAUGCGAGAGUUAUUCCUAAGGGGUACAGCCCUUAAGAAACAGGAUACAACCUCACCAGGAGGUUAAAGAUUAUAUUAAACAAGACAUACUGCUCUAGUGGGCCCAAAAGCAGCCACCUAAACAGAAAGCGUUAAAGCUCCAGCAAAACUGAAUUCUAUUAUUUAAAUACUUAAUCUAAAACCCCUAACCAUAUUAGGCCGCCCCAUGCCCACAUGGAAGAGAUAAUGCUAAAAUGAGUAAUAAGAGGGGGAAACCCCCCCUCUCCCAAGCCUACGUGUACGCUAGUUCGAACCCGUCACUAGCAAUUACCCGAACCCAAGCCACAGAGGGAAAUGUGGUCACACCAAACACCAAGAAGCACCCACAUAACCCAAUCGUUAACCCAACACUGGAAGGCAAUAAAGGAAAGACCAAAAGAAAAGGAAGGAACUCGGCAAACACUGAGCCCCGCCUGUUUACCAAAAACAUCGCCUCAGGCAAAAAUCAAAAGUGAUUGGAGGUCGCUCGAACGCAGAGAAAAUGAAAACGGCCGCGGUAUUUUUAACCGUGGGAAGGUAGCGCAAUCACUUGUCUUUUAAAUAGAGACCUGUAUGAAUGGUAAGUCGAGGGUUUAACUGUCUCCCUUUUCAAGUCAAUGAAAUUGAUCUGCCCGUGCAGAAGCGGGCAUAAACAUACAAGACGAGAAGACCCUUUGGAACUUAAGACGCUAGACCACCUAUAUCAAUGACACCCAACAUCAGUUUAAAUCUAAUAGUACAUUGGUCCUAGUCUUUGGUUGGGGCGACCGCGGAAGAAAAUAAAGCUACCGCGCAGAUGGGGCACUCCCCUAAAAUCAAGAGAGACAUCUCUAAAUAACAGAACUUCUGACCUCGAAGAUCCGGCACCCGCCGAACAACGAACCAAGCUACCCUAGGGAUAACAGCGCAAUCCCCUUUCAGAGCCCAUAUCGACAAGGGGGUUUACGACCUCGAUGUUGGAUCAGGACAUCCUAAUGGUGCAACCGUUAUUAAGGGUUCGUUUGUUCAACGAUUAAAGUCCUACGUGAUCUGAGUUCAGACCGGAGCAAUCCAGCUCAGUUAUUUUUGUAAAACGCCCUCCUCUAGUACGAAAGGACCGGAAAGAGGGGGCCCAUGAUAUUAAUAUGCCCCACCCCAACUUAAUGAAAACAACUAAAUCAAAUAAGGGGAGCAUCACCUACAAUCUAGAUAAGAUU